GCAACUUCUGCUGCUCUAGGAGGUGAAGCAUGUGGUAAAUGGAAAGGUCUGAAAGAAGAAAAGAAAGAUCAUGAGAUAGUUUGGCCUCCUAUGGUUAUCAUUACAAAUACAGUGCACAAAAAGAACGAGUACAAUAAGUGGAUUGGUAUGACAACUCAACAGCUGCUGGACAUGUUCAGCACAGACGAUGCUGUUGUCAAGGUUCAACACU
rnacentral:misc_RNA from 1 species